rnacentral:rRNA from 1 species
AUACGGAGGGUGCAAGCGUUGUUCGGAUUUACUGGGCGUAAAGAGAGUGUAGGUGGUUUAUUAAGUCGGAUGUGAAAUCCCGGGGCUCAACCUCGGAACUGCAUUCGAUACUGAUAGGCUAGAGUUUGGGAGGGGUAAGCGGAAUUCCGUGUGUAGCAGUGAAAUGCGUAGAUAUACGGAGGAACACCUGAGGCGAAGGCGGCUUACUGGACCAAUACUGACACUGAGACUCGAAAGCGUGGGUAGCAAACAGGAUUAGAAACCCGAGUAGUCC